UCUUAUGAUGAAAACUGUCCAGUUCUGCUACUGAAAGGAAAGAGAUGAAAGCCUUUCAUCUGAGGAA